UCUGAAGGGCCUUGGAAAAGCUCAUCCUAACAUCUGAGGUUUCACCUACCACCCACCAUGCAUGUCAGUGGUGGGAACACUGGGUAGUUGGGGUUGGCACAUACUGGAAGUGUGCUUUCACUUUUUGUCUGCCAGGAAAAUAUCCCAGACCCUGGAAAUACCUCUUGCCAACAAGGGAACAGUGUUAGAUAGAUGCUGAGCACAAAGAAAUCAUCAAUCUUCCUCUAAAGGAGGAAGGCUCAAGUUGUACCUGGGUGAUGGGAAGCACUGCCCCACACAAGCCUCAGAGGGUGUCAUGGGCAUCCCUUUGUGCAGAGACAUCUCAUCAGUUUGAUGCAAAGGCCAAGCUAAUUGCCAGCCUGCCACAAAACCAAGAAACCGAAAUAUUCACUCUGUGGUCUGCUCUGGCUUCCCUCAGGCUGCCUUGGAGCAUCUGUGACACUUGCAUUCCCCACUGAAAUGCUGAUUUGUUUCUGUCAGGCACCCAGAGUUGGUUCCUUGGUGUCAAGCUGACUCGUAGGUCACUGCUAAAUUUGGUGUAGGACACGAUGGCACAAUGCAUGGUGGGGCCAGGGUGACACCACCCUGCUGAGGCUGCGUGUGUGGCGCAGAGCCUGCGGCACCUUCCUGCAGAGGAAAGGAGAGUUCUGGAAGGUAAAAUGCAUUGAGAGGACAAAAAACAGCUGAGAAAAGCAGCCUGAGACCCUUAAGGAUCUGUCUGUGCUCCUGGCAUCUCCUGGCUCCUGGGUAUCCUGUGCCAAAACAAAUCCCAGAUGAAUGCUUGGUGGACUCUUACCUCCACUGGGGGAGUAGUUGGAAAGUAAAUUGGUGAGUCUACCAGGGGGAGAGGAGGCAUGCUGUGGUCUGUCCCCUCACAGCACAGAGCCACUGCUCCCUCAAGGUUCCUCCUCUCUGUCAUCCAGCUUACAGCCAUUGCCCCCAGCAUUUUCCUGACUCACCUUCCCAAACCACCUCCUCCAGCCCCACUCGUGCAGAGCUGCAGGGUGAGGGCACGCACUGAGCAGAGGUGUGAUGCUAAUAACAAGGUGUAGGGUAACAUAAACAGGAAAUCCUGCCACAAGAUACUUCCACAAGCACUUAAUCAGGCUUUCAGAGGAAACCAUCAUCCCAAAGAGAUGGAGCAACCCUAUAUCCUCUUAUAAUGCCAGGUGGGAAUCCUGCUGCCAGGAUGACAGAGUACUGUGCCUGGUCCAGCUGCCUUGCCUUUGGCAGCUGUAACCUCCUGAAAGCAAAUGUGAGAGGGAGUCAGAUGCCUGGCAAAUCCAAAAGAGAAAGGUUGACUUGCCAAAAUUAUUUUGUCUAUUCAAGGCAGAGUAAUAAAUGCUAGUCUGAGUAGUGUCUACUAUUAAUGGACAUGUUCCAAAGUGGUAGGAGAUGUGAUAAAAAAAAAUUGCUUCCAUUUUAAUAACUAAUUAAACAGCCUAACUUAGCCAGGGACCACUGCUGUGGAACUGAAUCCAAAACCUAAAAGAAAUAGCGGUAGCUGUAGCCCGGAGCCUUAGCAGUGAAUGAGUGACAGAGCAAAAACAUCUGUCCCUUUGAAGAAGGUCAGAAAAGGCUGAUAGUCCUCUUCCAAAUGGAGAAAAACCUGUCCAGACUGGGAAAAAAACCUGUUCCCAUUAGACCUGUGCCCCCCAGUCCUCGAGAAGCCGGCCAGGGCAGUGGCAGAUGCUGUGUCUGCUGCUGUGCUUGGGGCAUAGGGCUGCACGUGGGCUGCAGUGGUCCAGGCUAGCGCAGAGCCUGGGCAGUGCUCGGCUGCCACAAGAGUGGCUGCUGUGCCCAGCCUGGCCCUGGCCCUUCCUGUGGUGUUGCUGCUCUAUUAAAUCAUCUGCUGGGCUGACAGCUCCCCAGGGUCCUCAUGGCUUUGCCUGCAAAGCUGGCUUAAUUCCUGGCCUUGAAGCGGGCUGGGAACACAGCAUGCAUGGGGAUUUGCAGUUCUCAGCACGUUUAUCAGGGAAAACCUUUUCCAUGAAAGUUAGGGUCAGCCCACAGCCUCCCCCAUGAUAUUAUGCUUGUGUAAGCGAUCGUGUUCACCUGGGUUUCCUGAUGUUGCACUGAUGCCAGCUUUUUAUCUGCUCUCCUCAGCACAGAGGGCAUUCUGCCUUACCUUGGGGGCUGUUUUAACUGGAUUUGUACAAACCUGGUCAUCUGGGUUGCCUUUGCCCUGGUGCUGUGUUUGGCUGAGGUAGGCCAGUAAGGCAAAAAACUACUCCAGAGAGGAAGCAAGAUGCCCAUGCAAGAUGCCCAGGGAAGAAGGCUGGAAGCCCAGAGUGUGGUGCCACAUGCUGGGAUGCACCACUGGACCAGGGGGUCCCUACAGCAGCAGCCACUGAGAACAUGAGUAGAGACCUCACCCCACCUGGAUUUGCAUCCAGAAUUGUGCAGCCAAAUCAGGUGGGAAAAAAUUUCCUCAACAGCUGCAUUUGAAGAAAAAUAUUUUUGUUUUUUCCUCUGAGAGGUUCUCCAGACAAAUCUGGAAGAAUCCAGAGAGCAUGAGUUGGACACAGUUUAUGCUUAAAACAGGCAGUCACCUCUGCAGUGAUGGUGUCUUAUUUCUCCCUGUGGGCAUGGCUGCCAGGCAGAACAAUAAAUCUUUCACAUGGAAGUACAUGACAUGGACCUAAAUUCACAUUCCUUUCUGCAGCCCUUUCAGUGGCACACCAGCAACUGCUUAUCUGAGCACAGAGCCUUUCCAGGCUGCUGACACCUGCCUGCCUUGGGUCACACUUGUUCCUUCUACUUUGGGAUGAGGCAGAGAGAGAGCAAGAGGCUCUUCCUGUGGGAGGCUGCACUGGUUUAUUUAUCAGAGGAGGCCAUUCUGCAUGCCACAGUGGCUGAACUGCACCUGUCUCCAGGAGGGAUUUGUGGUGUGUGUUUGACCUGCAGAUGCACCUGGAACGGCCCCAGCACAGCCCUGCUGCUAAGGAUUGUAGAAUUAUAGAAGCACAGACUGGUUUGUGUUGAAAGGGACCUUGGAGGUCACCUUGUUCACAUCCAACCCCCCUGCAUGGACAGGGACCCUUUCCACUAGACCAGAUUGCUCAGAUCUCCAUCCACCCUGGCCUUAAACACUUACUGGGUUGUGUUACACCCACAGCUUCUCUGGGCAACCUGUUCCAGUGCCUCACCACCCUCACAGUAAAGAAUUUUUUCAUCAUAUCUAAUCCAAACCUACACUCUUUCAGUUUGAUGAUGGAAAGCAAUUGAGUGCUGGGAGUGGCAUGUACAUAUUUAUUCCAAAAUAAUCCACUACAUGGCAGUUGUGGUGUUUUGGGCCCUUGGAGCUGGAAUUUGUUCAGCCUCCUCUUCUCCUGACCUCCAGGCUGCCAGGAUAAUGGCUUCUAUCCUCUUAUCUCAGCUGAUGCUAUCACUGUUCCUCCCAUGCCCGCAGACACAUGUCAUGUGGUAAAAUCUCCCUCUGGGGGAAGCUGCUGUGCCAGCCUGGCUGCCAGUGAGCCUGGUGUGAUCCUUCAUUUCAAAUCAGGGUGGAAAGGGGUCAGGAAUAAAUGCUUCUCUACUUUUUAAAGUAUCUUUCAUCCAGAAAAGCCAGUACAGUAUCCUGCCCUAUGAACCGUAUAUGAGAGCUGGCAAAGGAAUAUUACAGCUGAAACCCCUCUUAGCACAAAGCACAAUGCUGGCCUUUGUGAAAACUGAAUUGUUCCUACUUCCAGUGUGAGUUUGGGCAAGCCCCUCUCUCUGGCACCACUCCGGGCUAAGGGCACAAGGGCAGGUGUGUCCUUGUCAUUAGGGGUUUUCCUCUUCCCAGCAUCUGUCUUUUGCUGAGUGGGGACAGACUGAUUCUGUGGAAACCACUUGGGAAGCUGGUCACUGGACUGCUGCCUGACACCCAAGUCACUGCCUGUUCUGCCACAGAAACAGUCCCUGAUCCUAAGCAGGUGUGUCUGUGUGCCCACAAACACACCCUCACAUGUGCACUCCUUCUCUGGUGGCACUGAGGUUGCUUUUUCCUCACACACUGGUAUUUUGCUGAGCUCAAAUGUCCCUGGCAGAGGGACCCUGAGCAGCAUCAUGUCUGAGGGACCCAGGGCUGCUUGUCAGAGCUGAAGUGGGAGGAGCAGUGGUUUGCCAUUCUGCUGGAUGAUGAGAUGAGUCAUUUGGGCCCUUCCACUCUCUUUACCAUCAAAAAUAAGGUGGAUCUGUGCUGCCAUGCCAUAUGAGUACAGCUUGCCACUGUGAUAGCUCUCUUCCUUCCUAAUCUCUCGUCACUGUUGUUGGUCAUGUGCAAGAGAGUGACUCCUUUCCUGUGACAGAAGAGUGUCAUGCCUAAAGGAUUACUUGCAGGCAACCCACAGGAGAUUCAUCUUGGCAGCCACAGGUUUGGUGCCUAAAAUCCUGUGGGAGUUUGCAGGAGCUGAGCACUGCUUUGGAGAAGCAGCAGAGACAAGCCAGUGGGAGCUGCCACAAGAGCAGUUUGAGCUUUCACAGAAGCUGUAGGCUCCAAGGGGAUAUGCCUAAGUGUCCGUGGCUCCAGUUGCUACCUCAGGCAAUGCUUUGGAUGGCAUAAAGAGGCACUGAGCCAGAACGAGCUGGAAUUGAAAGAGAUCUGGGGGAAAAGUGGAGCUUGCCUGGCUUGAGGAUAUUUCUUUUCAAUGUGGAAAGAGACCAACCAAAUAGGCAGAGUUCCCUACGAAGGAAAAGUCACCAAAACCUAAUUCAAGUCCUGGCUUCAAAGCCUGGUUCCUUAUCUAAAUGGCAGGACUUGUCAUCACAAGUACAGUCGCACAGAGAGAAAUAGAAUAAUAAGAGUGAAAAUGUAUUUAGUGCUUUUAAUACAAUGUUGUCAAUCUGAUUUAUUUCAUCUUGAAUUCCAGUAUCUGGAGCUUUUGUUAAGGACCAAGAGGCUGCAGUUGCACAGCUUUAGCAGCAUUGCAACUUUUUGUUACAUCAUCUUCUUUCUCUCUUCUGUGUGAAAGAAGAAAGCUUCAAACUCCAAGUCCUGAAGAUCAGGCUUCAAAGAGCUUAUGAAAGAUGUUUAGUUUCUGUUUAAAGCCUCAGUGUUUACAAGCAGGAUGAAGAUUUUAGAGGUAACCAGCAGGAUUUAAUGUCAACUUCAUCAUGGGAAGGAAAUGGACAGAUACUGACAGUUGGAUAUCCUACCUCUACUUAGAUUUGCCCCAAAAGCAAGGUGAUACUGAAUGUGUUGGGUGAGACUCUUAAACCUGAUAAUAAGGUUUGACCUCCAUGCAGGAAGAGAGGGAGUGUGGCAUCUGUCCAGCCUCAGGCAGAUCUUUGUGACUCCCCCGAUACCCAGAUAAUGUUUUGGAUGCUGCAUAUCACCCACAGAAUCUCUCUGGGUACUGAUGUCUCUCUGCAACCAGGCAGGGCUUGUGACCUGCCACACAAGGGCUUUGUUUUCCCCUGGAGUACUUUUGCCUGUGUUUGCCCUGUGAUUGGAUCUUUGAUUGGUGGCAGAACUUAAUUUCUUUCUAAAUUUGCCUGGGAACUAAUCCAGUUCUUCCAAGCGCCAGCUAUUUGCAAAGAAGUAACGACGUCCUGGGCUGGAGUAACUGUGGGGCCAGCGAUUAGCUGGGCAGCCCUCCCUGCUGCCUGGCAGGGCCCCCAGAGGGCACAGCUUUGUAAUGUCAACACACUCGGUACACUUCUCAGAGCCACCGAGCAAACAUGUGCCCAGAGCGUGCCGCAGGUAGGCUGGCUGGCCAAGGGC